UACGGAGGGUGCGAGCGUUGUCCGGAAUCAUUGGGCGUAAAGGGUGCGUAGGCGGUGAUGUAAGUUGGAUGUGAAAUCCCGGGGCUUAACCCCGGAACUGCAUUCAAUACUGCAUUGCUAGAGUACUGGAGAGGAGAUUGGAAUUCACGGUGUAGCAGUGAAAUGCGUAGAUAUCGUGAGGAAGACCAGUGGCGAAGGCGAAUCUCUGGACAGUUACUGACGCUGAGGCACGAAGGCUAGGGGAGCAAACGGG
rnacentral:rRNA from 1 species